GACGAACGCUGGCGGCGUGCUUAACACAUGCAAGUCGAACGGAAAGGCCCUGCUUUUGUGGGGUGCUCGAGUGGCGAACGGGUGAGUAACACGUGAGUAACCUGCCCUUGACUUUGGGAUAACUUCAGGAAACUGGGGCUAAUACCGGAUAGGAGCUCCUGCUGCAUGGUGGGGGUUGGAAAGUUUCGGCGGUUGGGGAUGGACUCGCGGCUUAUCAGCUUGUUGGUGGGGUAGUGGCUUACCAAGGCUUUGACGGGUAGCCGGCCUGAGAGGGUGACCGGCCACAUUGGGACUGAGAUACGGCUCAGACUCCUACGGGAGGCAGCAGUGGGGAAUAUUGCACAAUGGGCGGAAGCCUGAUGCAGCAACGCCGCGUGCGGGAUGACGGCCUUCGGGUUGUAAACCGCUUUCGCCUGUGACGAAGCGUGAGUGACGGUAAUGGGUAAAGAAGCACCGGCUAACUACGUGCCAGCAGCCGCGGUGAUACGUAGGGUGCGAGCGUUGUCCGGAUUUAUUGGGCGUAAAGGGCUCGUAGGUGGUUGAUCGCGUCGGAAGUGUAAUCUUGGGGCUUAACCCUGAGCGUGCUUUCGAUACGGGUUGACUUGAGGAAGGUAGGGGAGAAUGGAAUUCCUGGUGGAGCGGUGGAAUGCGCAGAUAUCAGGAGGAACACCAGUGGCGAAGGCGGUUCUCUGGGCCUUUCCUGACGCUGAGGAGCGAAAGCGUGGGGAGCGAACAGGCUUAGAUACCCUGGUAGUCCACGCUGUAAACGGUGGGUACUAGGUGUGGGGUCCAUUCCACGGGUUCCGUGCCGUAGCUAACGCUUUAAGUACCCCGCCUGGGGAGUACGGCCGCAAGGCUAAAACCCAAAGGAAUUGACGGGGCCCCGCACAAGCGGCGGAGCAUGCGGAUUAAUUCGAUGCAACGCGUAGAACCUUACCUGGGUUUGACAUGGAUCGGGAGCGCUCAGAGAUGGGUGUGCCUCUUUUGGGGUCGGUUCACAGGUGGUGCAUGGCUGUCGUCAGCUCGUGUCGUGAGAUGUUGGGUUAAGUCCCGCAACGAGCGCAACCCUUGUUCACUGUUGCCAGCACGUUAUGGUGGGGACUCAGUGGAGACCGCCGGGGUCAACUCGGAGGAAGGUGGGGAUGACGUCAAGUCAUCAUGCCCCUUAUGUCCAGGGCUUCACGCAUGCUACAAUGGCUGGUACAGAGAGUGGCGAGCCUGUGAGGGUGAGCGAAUCUCGGAAAGCCGGUCUCAGUUCGGAUUGGGGUCUGCAACUCGACCUCAUGAAGUCGGAGUCGCUAGUAAUCGCAGAUCAGCAACGCUGCGGUGAAUACGUUCCCGGG
rnacentral:rRNA from 1 species